rnacentral:tRNA from 1 species
GGGCCCGUAACUCAGAAUGGUAGAGUGCCCGGCUCAUAACCGGGCGGUCGUGGGUUCAAGGCCGUUAAGGUGAAAAUCCCACCGGGCCCA